AUGCUUGGGCAGCCAGGGCUCCAGGAUCGGGUGAGGGCGAGCACCCAGCAAUGUGGAGGCACUGCAGGAAGGACGCACCUUUCACCCAUCUGGCAGAAGAGGUGGCAGACGGUCCCCAGAUUCUUCAGCUGGUGCUGCUUUCUUCUCUCCUUCAAGCUGCUCUGCUUUACCCGGGCUAUUCACAGCUUGCACUUUACUAAGCUUCUGCUUUUCCCUACGUUACACAUUACAUUUCUGAAGCAUAUGAUGAAUGGGAUGCUGUGCAGCUGA
rnacentral:lncRNA from 1 species